GAGAUUGAGAGGCUGCGGCAGCGGCAGGAGCUCCAGCAAACACGUCCAGCCGCUUCCCCCUCCACUGUCUGACUUCCACCCGCCGCCGGCCCCAAUAUGGCGUCAAUAACAACGCCGCCGAUUCAAAUCCUGCGGCCUCAGGGCGCGUGCGCAUAGCGGGGGGCGGGAGCCCGAGCAUACAUUCUGGGAGUUGUAGUUUAUCACUGGAGGAAGGACUCUGCGUGAAAAGCGGUUAAGGAGAAGUCACGAAAACUACGAGUCCCGUCAUUCAAGGCCAGCGAUUCCGAGUUCCGGAUUGGAAUUUAAAUCCCCCUACACAUCUUGAGUGUAAAAGGAACUGAGGCCUUCUAUAGCACUCCAGCAGAGACCUAAGACCGCUAAGCUUCUGAGAAUCCGCUCACUUACACCUUUACUGAGUGAUUUCCAUAUGCCCAUCUCAGUGCCAGCUGCUCCAGUUUCAGGCAGAUUCUUUACCAGCUGAGCCACCAGAGAAGCCCAUAUAAAGCACCUGGAAUGGAAAAUUCUUCAGAAAUGUUGACUAUCAUUAUUAUCCGGGAGCUCCCCAACAAGGGAUCCAACUGUGCUCCCUGCAUUGGAAGUGCGGCGUCUUAAUCACUGGACCACCAGGGCAGUCUCUCCUUUCUCUUCUUGAUGAUGUGACCGAAACAGCUGACCCAGCCCAGCUUUGCCUCAUUUUGUGGUUGAACUGCAGCAUAUUAGAGGUUCCUUGUUCUCAAACCCAAGUUCCCAGAAGAGGAAAUUUAUUGGCUAGCUCUUGUAACAUACUCGGAUCUGCCACUGCCAACCAAAGGUGUGUAUAUAUGGGGUGGGAGAGGAAGGAGAAGAAGUGAAUGUUACGAAUACACAGGUUCAACCAGUUCAUAUAAGAAGAAAGCCAAAUGGCUAAGGGACACCUGAAAAGCUACUCAUCUUCACUAACAUUCAAAGAAAUGCAGAUUAGCCAGCAAUGAGAAGUGCUCAUUUUUUUUUUCUUUUUUGAGAUCGUAUUGGCAAUUAUGAAAAAUAAAGAUAAUUAUAGGAAACUUGUUAACAGUAUAAAGUGAUAUGACUUUUCUGGUUUGCUAUUGAACAUCAUGUCAUAUUUUAAAAAUUAAUUUUUAUUGGAGUGCAGUUGUUUUACAAUGUUGUGUUCGUUUCUGAUGCAUCAGACAUACACAUGUGCGUAUCCCUACCCUCUUGGACUUCCUCCCACUCAGGUCACCACAGUGCCCAUAUAUAGGUAUUUAUUGCAAUAUUUUUAAUAUUAAAGAAAAGCUUAGAACACAAUAGAUUCCCUUCAAUGGAGGGUAGAGAUUAUGGUAAAAUACUACUGAGAGGUUGUUAUAAAAGGUGAGGUAGACUCAUAUGCAAGAUGUGCAUGGCAAGCCAUUUAAAGUAAAAAAAAAAACAAACAGAAGAGAGUAAACUGUGAUUUCAUUUUUGUCAAACAUAUACAGUAUAUAAGACACACUGUACAUACUAUCUUAGAAAUAUGUCUGCAUACACACUGUAUGUAUUUGCCUGUGUAUGUUUGUGUAUAUUACAUAACAUAUAACACAUUAUUUGUAGUAUAACAGUUACAUAUUAUAUAUAUAUGUAUAUACAUGUAUAGAUGGUGGCACUAGUGCUAAAAACCCACCUGCAAU
ensembl:lncRNA